rnacentral:rRNA from 1 species
GGGUGGAUUAGUGGCGAACGGGUGAGUAACACGUGGGCAAUCUGCCCUUCACUCUGGGACAAGCCCUGGAAACGGGGUCUAAUACCGGAUACCACUCUCUUCCGCAUGGGGGAGGGUUGAAAGCUCCGGCGGUGAAGGAUGAGCCCGCGGCCUAUCAGCUUGUUGGUGGGGUGAUGGCCCACCAAGGCGACGACGGGUAGCCGGCCUGAGAGGGCGACCGGCCACACUGGGACUGAGACACGGCCCAGACUCCUACGGGAGGCAGCAGUGGGGAAUAUUGCACAAUGGGCGAAAGCCUGAUGCAGCGACGCCGCGUGAGGGAUGACGGCCUUCGGGUUGUAAACCUCUUUCAGCAGGGAAGAAGCGAAAGUGACGGUACCUGCAGAAGAAGCGCCGGCUAACUACGUGCCAGCAGCCGCGGUAAUACGUAGGGCGCAAGCGUUGUCCGGAAUUAUUGGGCGUAAAGAGCUCGUAGGCGGC